UCGUCGACAGUCUCGAAACGAACAUUCGAUCAAUAGCCGCACGUUUUAUCGCGUUUCUCGUGAAACUAUGUUCGAAGUUGGUGCUCCGUAUCAUAUUUAUCUCUUCGCGAGUAUAUCCGCAGCUCCUGCGGAGAUUUGUCAGUAUCAUCGCGGAUCCCUUCGACAUUUUAAAAGGACAGAGUCAACGAUUGACGAGCGCUCCUCGAAUUGAUCCGAAUCAAUGGAAGACAAACGAAGACGUCUGUGGACGUCUUCCUCGAACGAGUAAAAUUUCUCUUCUCUCUCUUUUAAAAUCAAGUAUCGAGGAAUACGGCGAAUAGCUCGGAUUCAAGUGCGCAAAAUCGCAAAUUCCUCACGGUGCGGCUUUUUACCGGCGCGGCGUGGCGAAGGAAGGCAGGCAGGCAGGCAGGCAGGCAGGCAGGCAGAGACCGGAGACCGGACCGCCGCCAUAUUGAUUAACCGGUGCGGCGCGGAAGGGUCGGCCGGCACGGGGAAGUCCGCGGUAGAAUGAACGCGGGAACGCGGGCGAGAGCUUGACCGAGAGGUACAGAGAGAAGAGAGAAGGAGAGAAUAGACGGAGAAAGGGAGAGCGCGUCAUGUACAAGAGAAGAGAUACGGCGAUGAAGGAGAAGGCGGAGGAACGGCGGACGAAGGGGACGGGGAAUAGUAACGCGCGGUGUGCCCGGACAACGCUCCCGCCGGGGCCAACUAACGGUCCAAACCACCACCACCACCACCACCGUCGCCAUCGCCACCAUCGGUUCGCCACCGUCACCACCGGCGCGCGAACCUCACUUCGAUAGUUCUCGUCAUCUUUCUUCUCCUCUUGCAUUUCUUCGCGCUUCGUUUUUCCACCCCCCCUUCCCUCUCCGCCGUCACCGUCGUGUUACUCGCUCGAUCACGCGCGUGUGCGCGCAGAUCCUUUUAAACUACAAAUUCUUCGCGAUCGGUCUUUUACAUUUCCUUUUACAUUUCCUUACGACGAAUUCCACGAACGCAGACGAGGCGACGAGGCGAUAGCGCGACGAAGGGACAACUCAGGCGUGAACGAUCGCGGGGUACCAUUCGCGGGGUGAGGGAGGGAGGGAGGGGGAAAGGAUUUUUGCGCACGUCCAUUGCCGAGGUAUCACGACGAUGGUAUCUCUUAUCGUAUCCGGUAUUUCCUAUUUGUGCCUUAUCACGCGCGGCGAGUAGAAUGAACCGCGUUCAGCUCGCGAAUACGAAAACAGAGUCUAUUGCGUUGUCUUCAUUGAAGAUAACUUAGCAAGAACAUGCCGCAGCACUCGAAGUCUAACGUAUAUUUUCAUGAUAUUAGUACUAACGUACAAUGUAUAUGUCCAACUUUCCGAUUGUACAGAAUGUCGAGGGUUA